GGUUAAGCGACUAAGCGUACACGGUGGAUGCCCUGGCAGUCAGAGGCGAUGAAGGACGUGCUAAUCUGCGAAAAGCGUCGGUAAGGUGAUAUGAACCGUUACAGCCGGCGAUGUCCGAAUGGGGAAACCCAGUGCAAUUCGUUGCACUAUCGUUUGAUGAAUACAUAGUCAAACGAGGCGAACCGGGGGAACUGAAACAUCUAAGUACCCCGAGGAAAAGAAAUCAACCGAGAUUCCCCCAGUAGCGGCGAGCGAACGGGGAGCAGCCCGGAGUCUGAAUCAGCUUGUGUGUUAGUGGAAGCGUCUGGAAAGUCGCAGGGUACAGGGUGAUACUCCCGUACACUAAAACACACAGGUUGUGAACUCGAAGAGUAGGGCGGGACACGUGGUAUCCUGUCUGAAUAUGGGGGGACCAUCCUCCAAGGCUAAAUACUCCUGACUGACCGAUAGUGAACCAGUACCGUGAGGGAAAGGCGAAAAGAACCCCGGCGAGGGGAGUGAAAAAGAACCUGAAACCGUGUACGUACAAGCAGUAGGAGCCCACUAGUUGGGUGACUGCGUACCUUUUGUAUAAUGGGUCAGCGACUUAUAUUCUGUAGCAAGGUUAACCGUAUAGGGGAGCCGCAGGGAAACCGAGUCUUAACUGGGCGUUAAGUUGCAGGGUAUAGACCCGAAACCCGGUGAUCUAGCCAUGGGCAGGUUGAAGGUUGGGUAACACUAACUGGAGGACCGAACCGACUAAUGUUGAAAAAUUAGCGGAUGACUUGUGGCUGGGGGUGAAAGGCCAAUCAAACCGGGAGAUAGCUGGUUCUCCCCGAAAGCUAUUUAGGUAGCGCCUCGUGAACUCAUCUUCGGGGGUAGAGCACUGUUUCGGCUAGGGGGUCAUCCCGACUUACCAACCCGAUGCAAACUACGAAUACCGAAGAAUGUUAUCACGGGAGACACACGGCGGGUGCUAACGUCCGUCGUGAAGAGGGAAACAACCCAGACCGCCAGCUAAGGUCCCAAAGUCAUGGUUAAGUGGGAAACGAUGUGGGAAGGCCCAGACAGCCAGGAUGUUGGCUUAGAAGCAGCCAUCAUUUAAAGAAAGCGUAAUAGCUCACUGGUCGAGUCGGCCUGCGCGGAAGAUGUAACGGGGCUAAACCAUGCACCGAAGCUGCGGCAGCGACACUAUGUGUUGUUGGGUAGGGGAGCGUUCUGUAAGCCGUUGAAGGUGGCCUGUGAGGGUUGCUGGAGGUAUCAGAAGUGCGAAUGCUGACAUAAGUAACGAUAAUGCGGGUGAAAAACCCGCACGCCGGAAGACCAAGGGUUCCUGUCCAACGUUAAUCGGGGCAGGGUGAGUCGACCCCUAAGGCGAGGCCGAAAGGCGUAGUCGAUGGGAAACAGGUUAAUAUUCCUGUACUUGGUGUUACUGCGAAGGGGGGACGGAGAAGGCUAUGUUGGCCGGGCGACGGUUGUCCCGGUUUAAGCAUGUAGGCGGAUGUUCCAGGUAAAUCCGGAACGUCACUAACGCUGAGGUGUGAUGACGAGGCACUACGGUGCUGAAGUGACAAAUGCCCUGCUUCCAGGAAAAGCCUCUAAGCAUCAGGUAACAUCAAAUCGUACCCCAAACCGACACAGGUGGUCAGGUAGAGAAUACCAAGGCGCUUGAGAGAACUCGGGUGAAGGAACUAGGCAAAAUGGUGCCGUAACUUCGGGAGAAGGCACGCUGAUGGUAAGUGAAGUGACUUGCUCAUGGAGCUGAAAUCAGUCGAAGAUACCAGCUGGCUGCAACUGUUUAUUAAAAACACAGCACUGUGCAAACACGAAAGUGGACGUAUACGGUGUGACGCCUGCCCGGUGCCGGAAGGUUAAUUGAUGGGGUUAUCCUCACGGAGAAGCUCUUGAUCGAAGCCCCGGUAAACGGCGGCCGUAACUAUAACGGUCCUAAGGUAGCGAAAUUCCUUGUCGGGUAAGUUCCGACCUGCACGAAUGGCGUAAUGAUGGCCAGGCUGUCUCCACCCGAGACUCAGUGAAAUUGAACUCGCUGUGAAGAUGCAGUGUACCCGCGGCAAGACGGAAAGACCCCGUGAACCUUUACUAUAGCUUGACACUGAACACUGGUCCUUGAUGUGUAGGAUAGGUGGGAGGCUUUGAAGUGUGGACGCCAGUCUGCAUGGAGCCGUCCUUGAAAUACCACCCUUUAAUGGCUGGUGUUCUAACGUGGGCCCCUAAUCGGGGUUGCGGACAGUGUCUGGUGGGUAGUUUGACUGGGGCGGUCUCCUCCUAAAGAGUAACGGAGGAGCACGAAGGUCAGCUAAUCCUGGUCGGACAUCAGGAGGUUAGUGCAAUGGCAUAAGCUGGCUUGACUGCGAGCGUGACGGCGCGAGCAGGUGCGAAAGCAGGUCAUAGUGAUCCGGUGGUUCUGAAUGGAAGGGCCAUCGCUCAACGGAUAAAAGGUACUCCGGGGAUAACAGGCUGAUACCGCCCAAGAGUUCAUAUCGACGGCGGUGUUUGGCACCUCGAUGUCGGCUCAUCACAUCCUGGGGCUGAAGUAGGUCCCAAGGGUAUGGCUGUUCGCCAUUUAAAGUGGUACGCGAGCUGGGUUUAGAACGUCGUGAGACAGUUCGGUCCCUAUCUGCCGUGGGCGCUGGAGAAUUGAGGGGGGCUGCUCCUAGUACGAGAGGACCGGAGUGGACGCAUCACUGGUGUUCGGGUUGUCAUGCCAAUGGCAUUGCCCGGUAGCUAAAUGCGGAAGAGAUAAGUGCUGAAAGCAUCUAAGCACGAAACUUGCCCCGAGAUGAGUUCUCCCUGACUCCUUGAGAGUCCUGAAGGAACGUUGAAGACGACGACGUUGAUAGGCCGGGUGUGUAAGCGCAGCGAUGCGUUGAGCUAACCGGUACUAAUGAACCGUGAGGCUUAACCUU
rnacentral:rRNA from 1 species